AGCAGCCGCGGUAAUUCCAGCUCCAAUAGCGUAUAUUAAAGUUGUUGCAGUUAAAAAAGCUCGUAGUUGAAUUUCGAGAUCAAAUUGUUGGUCGUGCCUUGGUACGCACUGGCAUUAUUGGUUUCUCCCUUCUGAAGAACCAUGAUGUCAUUAAUUUGGUGUCUUGGGGAAUCAGGACUGUUACUUUGAAAAAAAUUAGAGUGUUUAAAGCAGGCUCGCGCUUGAAUACAUUAGCAUGGAGUAAUGAAAUAGGACGUUUGAUUCUAUUUUGUUGGUUUCUAGGAUCGACGUAAUGAUUAAUAGGGAUAGUUGGGGGCAUUAGUAUUCAAUUGUCAGAGGUGAAAUUCUUGGAUUUAUUGAAGACUAACUACUGCGAAAGCAUUUGCCAAGGAUGUUUUCAUUAAUCAAGAACGAAAGUUAGGGGAUCGAAGACGAUCAGAUACCGUCGUAGUCUUAACCAUAAACUAUGCUGACUAGGGAUCGGAUGAUGUAAUUUUUAAUGACUCAUUC
rnacentral:rRNA from 1 species